rnacentral:lncRNA from 1 species
AAAAGACUAAGCAAAUAUCUACUGAACUACUGUCUCUGCAUUCCAUUAUACUAUGCAAGAAGAUGAAUGACAUCUGGUCUGGGUAAAGCCAGAAAUUUCUGCAACAAUAACAUAACUGUUGGGUUUUGAUAUCCAAUAAAUCCCCGAGCAAUAAUGUUACUCAUUGGAAUUUCAGUCAAUAUUGAUGACCGAGUUAAAUAUUGACAUCUCAAUGAAAAAACUAGACACAAAUACUAUUUGGAGUCAUUGGAAGCAACCUAAUUUAAUUAGAGUUGCUCGUGGCCCAAUCCGUUCACUUCCUGGAGGCUUAUGAGAGUUGGCCCAUUAAUUAUCCUACUUGGCCAACUUACUGGUUUUGGACUUGGCUCAUUAAUAUGCCUUAUAUUAGCCUAUAUAUGCUGUAUUCUUUGCUUGGUUAUUGACGUGCUAUUGCUUGGCUUUCCUCACUUGGUGAAACUGAUUCUUUUUCUUUGCUUUGUGCUAUAGCUGGUUUUUCUCCUCCUCUUACCUUUGUGGCUGGUAUAACAUCAUCUAUUUUGUGUCCUUUGUGGGUACAACCAAGCAAUCGAGAUAUUGGUGAAUAACAGUAGGUUUAGGCGUUGAUUUGGGAGGUUUGGUAAAGUUGAGAUUGGUAACCUAAGCUUGGAAAAUCAUCGAUCUCGAAGAACUUCCAAAACAGAUGAUAUCAAAGGCUGCUGGUGUGUGAGCUUCAACAAAAAAUCAACCAGGAACUGAUCUAAAAAUAGUAGAAAAAGGUUGAAGAAGAAGCUGUCUAGAUCAAAAUCAAUCUAACUAGAUCUAUUUUUUUUGGUUAAACCACUUACUUGUUGGAUAAAUAGAGGCCACUGAUGUAUUCAGUAGAUCGAGAUGCAUUGUGUGGCUCAUGAUCAACUAUGACGAGAUAGACCUUGCUGUGGAGUUCGUUUUCAGUUUUGAGGGCCACGAUAACAUUUAGACAUUUUACCCUUACGCGUUAGGAGUUGACUCUUGCUUGAUUGGUUGUUAUAAUUGCAGGAGACUUUAGAGAAAAUAGUGGUGGCCUUAAAGCAGUAAAUUUGCAUAUCUCAUUAUUUUAAGGACCACAGAUUGGUCAGCUCUGGCAUAUUGACUUAUCUCGUUUAAAUUCCAACAUUAGUAAGUCGUCAUGUGGAAUGACAUUAGGAUUGUGGUUAUCAUGUGGGAUAACCAUUGCUUGUCCUAAAAUUUAAG